rnacentral:tRNA from 1 species
GGUGGCUCAGAGGUAGAGUGCUUGCCUUGCAUGCAGGAGGCCCUGGGUUCGAUUCCUUAGCACCA